rnacentral:rRNA from 1 species
CAAUACCUAGUGGCAGACGGGUGAGUAACGCGUGGUCAACCUACCGUUGAGUGGGGGAUAACUAGCCGAAAGGUUAGCUAAUACCGCAUACGAGUCUCGGGGGCAUCCCUGGGCCUUAAAAGGAGCAAUCCGCUCGAUGACGGGACCGCGUCCCAUUAGCUAGAUGGUGGGGUAAUGGCCUACCAUGGCACCGAUGGGUAGCUGGUUUGAGAGAGCGACCAGCCACACUGGGACUGAGAAACGGCCCAGACUCCUACGGGAGGCAGCAGUGAGGAAUUUUCCGCAAUGGGCGAAAGCCUGACGGAGCGACGCCGCGUGUGGGAAGAAGGCCUUCGGGUCGUAAACCACUGUCGAAGGGGACGAUAAUGACGGUACCCUUGGAGGAAGCCCCGGCUAACUACGUGCCAGCAGCCGCGGUAAG